rnacentral:rRNA from 1 species
GAUGAACGCUAGCUACAGGCUUAACACAUGCAAGUCGAGGGGCAGCAUGGUCUUAGCUUGCUAAGGCCGAUGGCGACCGGCGCACGGGUGAGUAACACGUAUCCAACCUGCCGUCUACUCUUGGACAGCCUUCUGAAAGGAAGAUUAAUACAAGAUGGCAUCAUGAGUCCACAUGUUCACAUGAUUAAAGGUAUUCCGGUAGACGAUGGGGAUGCAUUCCAUUAGAUAGUAGGCGGGGUAACGGCCCACCUAGUCUUCGAUGGAUAGGGGUUCUGAGAGGAAGGUCCCCCACAUUGGAACUGAGACACGGUCCAAACUCCUACGGGAGGCAGCAGUGAGGAAUAUUGGUCAAUGGGCGAGAGCCUGAACCAGCCAAGUAGCGUGAAGGAUGACUGCCCUAUGGGUUGUAAACUUCUUUUAUAAAGGAAUAAAGUCGGGUAUGCAUACCCGUUUGCAUGUACUUUAUGAAUAAGGAUCGGCUAACUCCGUGCCAGCAGCCGCGGUAAUACGGAGGAUCCGAGCGUUAUCCGGAUUUAUUGGGUUUAAAGGGAGCGUAGAUGGAUGUUUAAGUCAGUUGUGAAAGUUUGCGGCUCAACCGUAAAAUUGCAGUUGAUACUGGAUAUCUUGAGUGCAGUUGAGGCAGGCGGAAUUCGUGGUGUAGCGGUGAAAUGCUUAGAUAUCACGAAGAACUCCGAUUGCGAAGGCAGCCUGCUAAGCUGCAACUGACAUUGAGGCUCGAAAGUGUGGGUAUCAAACAGGAUUAGAUACCCUGGUAGUCCACACGGUAAACGAUGAAUACUCGCUGUUUGCGAUAUACUGCAAGCGGCCAAGCGAAAGCGUUAAGUAUUCCACCUGGGGAGUACGCCGGCAACGGUGAAACUCAAAGGAAUUGACGGGGGCCCGCACAAGCGGAGGAACAUGUGGUUUAAUUCGAUGAUACGCGAGGAACCUUACCCGGGGCUUAAAUUGCAGAUGAAUUACGGUGAAAGCCGUAAGCCGCAAGGCAUCUGUGAAGGUGCUGCAUGGUUGUCGUCAGCUCGUGCCGUGAGGAGUCGGCUUAAGUGCCAUAACGAGCGCAACCCUUGUUGUCAGUUACUAACAGGUUCCGCUGAGGACUCUGACAAGACUGCCAUCGUAAGAUGUGAGGAAGGUGGGGAUGACGUCAAAUCAGCACGGCCCUUACGUCCGGGGCUACACACGUGUUACAAUGGGGGGUACAGAGGGCCGCUACCACGCGAGUGGAUGCCAAUCCCAAAAACCUCUCUCAGUUCGGACUGGAGUCUGCAACCCGACUCCACGAAGCUGGAUUCGCUAGUAAUCGCGCAUCAGCCACGGCGCGGUGAAUACGUUCCCGGGCCUUGUACACACCGCCCGUCAAGCCAUGGGAGCCGGGGGUACCUGAAGUGCGUAACCGCGAGGAGCGCCCUAGGGUAAAACUGGUGACUGGGGCU